rnacentral:lncRNA from 1 species
GUAUCUCUUGAGGGUGGACCAUCAAGAUUCUCAUGCACUCAAACAUUUACAAUGAAUGGUCCCUACAUCGCAAGGGAUACCAUAAGUUGGAUGGUUGAUGGGUUCGAAGGAACUUUGGGCAUAAUCGAUUGAGACUUGAGGUUGGGCCAAGCAAAGCAUAGCCAAAUUCAAAGCCAUAGUCAUCUCCACCAAUAGUAGAGCCUCAAACACCCUCAAUAGUGGCACCU